GUCAGGCGGGGCCACCCGCCGAGUUUAAGCAUAUAAAUAAGCGGAGGAGAAGAAACUUACGAGGAUUCCCCUAGUAACGGCGAGCGAACCGGGAUCAGCCCAGCUUGAGAAUCGGGCGGCCGCGCCGUCCGAAUUGUAGUCUGGAGAAGCGUCCUCAGCGACGGACCGGG
rnacentral:rRNA from 1 species